GCCCCUGUAGCUGAGUUGCAAAGCCCUGAUCUUGUAAGACAGGGUUCGUGAGUUCAAUCCUCACAGAAAGCA